AGCUCCAAUAGCGUAUAUUAAAGUUGUUGCGGUUAAAAGCUCGUAGUUGGAAUUCUGUCGAAAUAGGCCGGUCCUUGCUUUGCGAGUGCAUCUGGUAGGGUUUCGGCAUCCUCGCGGGGUUUGUCACUGCGCUUGAUUGCGUGGGGCGUAGCUCGCGGCUUUUACUUUGAGGAAAUUAGAGUGUUCACGGCAGGCAAGGGUCUUGAAUAUAUUAGCAUGGAAUAAUGAUAUAGGGCAAUGAUUCUUUUUGUUGGUUCCUAGAAUUGUAGUUACGGUUAAUAGGAACAACUGGGGGCAUUUGUAUUAACGCGUCAGAGGUGGAAUUCUUGGAUUGCGUUACGACAAACUACUGCGAAAGCAUUUGCCAAGGAUGUUUUCU
rnacentral:rRNA from 1 species